rnacentral:rRNA from 1 species
UACGUAGGGGGCAAGCGUUGUCCGGAUUUAUUGGGCGUAAAGCGCGCGCAGGCGGUCUCUUAAGUCUGAUGUGAAAGCCCCCGGCUCAACCGGGGAGGGUCAUUGGAAACUGGGAGACUUGAGUGCAGAAGAGAAGAGCGGAAUUCCACGUGUAGCGGUGAAACGGGUAGAGAUGUGGAGGAACACCAGUGGCGAAGGCGGCUCUUUGGUCUGUAACUGACGCUGAGGCGCGAAAGCGUGGGGAGCGAACAGG